rnacentral:lncRNA from 1 species
GAGCUCCAAGAAAGUCAGGAGCGGCCCGCCACGCCCGGGCCCGCCCGUCCUGGUGGGGCCCACACUGCCCGCUCGCCCACCUGUACUGGAAGGUCAUGUUGGUGAUCUUGAUCUUGAUCUCCUCGCCCAGCCUGCGCUCGCCGGUCAUCUCGAAGAGCUUGCUGGCCAUCUUCUCGUACACCUUGGCGUUGCGCUUGGUCUGCUUGAGCUCGUCGAAGAACUCCUCCCAGACCAGCAUGAGGCCGCGCAUCUCGGCGUCCGUCCAGUUGCGGGCCCGCCGGUGCUUCUCCGCCUGGGGAGACACGAGGUAGCCGGGCCCCUCGGCCGCCGCCAUGCCGGAGGCGCCUGUGGGGUGAGAGAGCGCGCUCAGCGAGGGCCCCGGCCCGGCCCCACGCACCAUGGGCGGGAGGCGCCGCUCACGCUCGCUCGAAGGCAGCUCCACGCUCAAAAUGGGGCCUACAUCUGACAGGCAGGAAUUUAGUUAAAAGCUUUUAAACGGGAAACGUCAUUUUGAUGUCACGUUUCCAUAGCAACAGAGCAACUGCAUAAGCUACAACAACAGAAACCUUUUAACUGAAAGCACAGGAAUCAGGGCUGCACUGACGGGCCAUCAAUAUUGCGGCGAGCGGGCCAGGCCCAAACCCAGCGGCCCGGCUCCCGGCCCUGCCUCUCACCGCCGCCCAGGCGGAUCGGCCCCCAGUUCAGUGCCGCCCCGGCUCACGCAGGCCAAGAGGGGGCCUCGGGUGGGAACAGGCAAGGAGAAAGGGGGCAAAAGCCCCCAGGCGCCCUGGGCCUUAGGUCUGUGGACACUGGAAGCCCGGGUUGGUCAGAGCCAGGCCCUGCCCAGAGGUGCAGACACAGGGUACACAGACACGGGCCUCUGGCACCGGCCGGUGAGGACAG